rnacentral:rRNA from 1 species
UACGUAGGGACCAAGCGUUGUUCGGAUUUACUGGGCGUAAAGGGAGCGUAGGCGGCAAUUCAAGUCAGUUGUGAAAUCUUCGAGCUUAACUCGGAACGGUCAACUGAUACUGCUUUGCUAGAGUACAGAAGGGGCAAUCGGAAUUCUUGGUGUAGCGGUGAAAUGCGUAGAUAUCAAGAGGAACACCUGAGGUGAAGACGGGUUGCUGGGCUGAUACUGACGCUGAGGCUCGAAAGCUAGGGGAGCGAACGGG